rnacentral:rRNA from 1 species
AUUGAACGCUGGCGGCAUGCUUUACACAUGCAAGUCGAACGGUAACAGGCCGCAAGGUGCUGACGAGUGGCGAACGGGUGAGUAAUGCAUCGGAACGUGCCCAGUCGUGGGGGAUAACUACUCGAAAGAGUAGCUAAUACCGCAUACGAUCUAUGGAUGAAAGCGGGGGACCGUAAGGCCUCGCGCGAUUGGGGCGGCCGAUGUCAGAUUAGGUAGUUGGUGGGGUAAAGGCUCACCAAGCCAACGAUCUGUAGCUGGUCUGAGAGGACGACCAGCCACACUGGGACUGAGACACGGCCCAGACUCCUACGGGAGGCAGCAGUGGGGAAUUUUGGACAAUGGGCGCAAGCCUGAUCCAGCAAUGCCGCGUGCAGGAAGAAGGCCUUCGGGUUGUAAACUGCUUUUGUACGGAACGAAACGGCUCUGGUUAAUACCCGGGGCUAAUGACGGUACCGUAAGAAUAAGCACCGGCUAACUACGUG